rnacentral:tRNA from 1 species
GAGGGUGUAGCUCAAGUGGUAGAGUGCUUGCUUAGCAUGCAUGAGGUCCUGGGUUCAAUCCCCAGUAUUGCCU